rnacentral:rRNA from 1 species
GCUCGAGUGGCGAACGGGUGAGUAACACGUGAGUAACCUGCCCUUGACUUUGGGAUAACUUCAGGAAACUGGGGCUAAUACCGGAUAGGAGCUCCUGCUGCAUGUGGGGGUUGGAAAGUUUCGGCGGUUGGGGAUGGACUCGCGGCUUAUCAGCUUGUUGGUGGGGUAGUGGCUUACCAAGGCUUUGACGGGUAGCCGGCCUGAGAGGGUGACCGGCCACAUUGGGACUGAGAUACGGCCCAG